rnacentral:rRNA from 1 species
CCAGACUCCUACGGGAGGCAGCAGUGGGGAAUAUUGCACAAUGGGCGAAAGCCUGAUGCAGCAACGCCGCGUGAAGGAAGAAGGGUUUCGGCUCGUAAACUUCUAUCAACAGGGACGAAAGAAAUGACGGUACCUGAAUAAGAAGCCCCGGCUAACUACGUGCCAGCAGCCGCGGUAAUACGUAGGGGGCAAGCGUUAUCCGGAUUUACUGGGUGUAAAGGGAGCGUAGACGGCGAUGCAAGCCAGAUGUGAAAGCCCGGGGCUCAACCCCGGGACUGCAUUUGGAACUGUGUGGCUGGAGUGUCGGAGAGGCAGGCGGAAUUCCUAGUGUAGCGGUGAAAUGCGUAGAUAUUAGGAGGAACACCAGUGGCGAAGGCGGCCUGCUGGACGAUGACUGACGUUGAGGCUCGAAAGCGUGGGGAGCAAACAGGAUUAGAUACCCUUGUACCC